rnacentral:lncRNA from 1 species
UUAAAUCUUGAUUUGCAAACUUUCAAUGAUGAUGAAGAUGUUGAAAGUGAUCAAGAAUAAGGGUUGAAGAUUCCUUUAUAUCUAAUAUUGUAAUUUCUUUAUUAUGGUGUUAAAUUUGUAGUGAUCUAACACUUUUUUUUUUAAUUUCAAGUUAUUUGAGCUAAUGACAUUGUAUGAAUUUUAUGUUUGUAUUUUAAUUUAUUUAUGAAUUUU